UCUCCUUGCUCAGCUGCUUUGCAAUAAAGCUCUUUUCUUUUGCAAAAGCUGGUGUCCUGCAUUUGGGUUAUGGUGCCCAAUGGGCAGUGGACCCUUGUUCAGGCAUAUGAGGAAUGAGUCUUCAAAUGCCAAAGGCCCUUCAAGAGGGCACACAGAGAGGACGGUCCCUGAAUAAUGAAGAAUCAUGGCAUUUUAAUAGCAGUGGUGAAAGUUUCUUUGGGAAAUGAGGUGUUGGUGAAGAGCCCAAUGGACACAUCCAUGAACCUGUCCUGCAGCAGUACCCACGAGGCCACGCGGGCAGCUGGAGGUGAUGGUCUCUAAGGACCGAGAACUACUCAAAUCCCACCCUAGAGCCAACAAUAAAGUCCUUGAAAACCGUG